CAUUUGGUUUCCCCCUGCUAGGUCUGUCUUUAGGGACGCUUCGUGAACGUCCAGGGUCCGGUCCGUUUCUGGCCACCGAUUUCUCUCCAGCGGGAUGAUUUGUCAGAUGUGAGAGUUUGGGGAAGUUUCGGCUGCUGGGAAGAGCCAAGUUGCUGAACGCGUGGAAGAGUUGGGGUUCUCGCUUGUUUCUGGGGAGGACUGAAGAGCAAGCAGCCGGGACACUGGCGAGUGGAAGAUGUGCAGAAAUAAGAGAAAGUGUGAGCAUGAAAAUAAGCUUUAAAACCACAGAUCCUAAAACCCAGAGAAGCAGGAACCUACAGUCCCCACUGCUGCUGUAAGAGGCACUCAUUUAUGUUCCUCAGUUGUGGUGGGUCCAGAAGAAAGCAGCAUCCUCAGAAAAGAUCCAAAUAUCAUCAAUAGGGGUAAAAACUUUUGGAAAUCUCCAAGGGAAUAAACAGUA